rnacentral:rRNA from 1 species
UACGUAGGGUGCGAGCGUUAAUCGGAAUUACUGGGCGUAAAGCGUGCGCAGGCGGUUUGUUAAGUCAGAUGUGAAAUACCCGAGCUUAACUUGGGUGCUGCAUUUGAAACUGGGUGUCUAGAGUGCAGGAGAGGUAAGUGGAAUUCCUAGUGUAGCGGUGGAAUGCGCAGAUAUCAGGAGGAACACCGAUGGCGAAGGCAGAUCUCUGGGCCGUAACUGACGCUGAGGAGCGAAAGCAUGGGGAGCGAACAGG